rnacentral:rRNA from 1 species
GAUGAACGCUGGCGGCGUGCUUAAUACAUGCAAGUCGAACGAAGUCAGUAGCAAUAUUGAUUGAGUGGCGAACGGGUGAGUAACGCGUUGGUGACCUGCCCCGAAGAGAGGGAUAACAGUUCGAAAGGAUUGCUAAUACCCCAUGUGGUCAUUUGGAUUAGAUGCCUUAUGACUAAACGGAUUUAUUCGCUUCGGGAGGGGCCUGCGUCCCAUCAGCUAGUUGGUAGGGUUGUGGCCUACCAAGGCGACGACGGGUAGGGGACCUGAGAGGGUGGCCCCCCACACUGGCACUGAAACACGGGCCAGACACCUACGGGAGGCUG